GUUCAUUUGCGGUGUGGCUGGAUGAAUAACGCGAUUUGUCAAAGAACGUAUUUCAACAAAAUUGUAAAUUAGUGGCAGCUGAAAAGAUCUAUCUGCCCUUCGUCGUACUGCUGUAAAUUAUGAUACGGUGGAGGUCUAGCUGUCCAUUUGUGUCCCAUGGUCAACAAAACAGCGCGAUACGGUUCAACAGACUGACGAAGCUAUGGGAAAGAAAAUGGACCGGAAAAUUAAGUCGCAAACAGAACACCAGAAAGUGGACAUACGUAAGAAAUAUGAUCUGCGUUCUUCUAACCGUAAUGAUGGCAGUAGUGGUGGAUCAGCUUAUUCGCGUUUGCCCGGCCAGCAACACGGAAGGUCUGUGAAAAAAUUUCGAGCUACGUACUUUUCCAGCUGACCCAGGAAGUGACAUGCAUGCCCUCCAGUAUGUUCAAAGCUGAAAAUAGGCCUAGUUUAUGAAGAAUUGCUUUUGUGGUUAUCGUGUGAUGCCUGGAUAGUUGUUACCAUCAAAUGAUGGAUGGAUUCUUUAGUACUUUUUUAUUUUUCCGUUAGAGUUGCGGAAAAAACACUAAAUCAUAAAAUGAAUACAAAUAUUCUUUUUCCAAAUUAAGUCCGAAAGUUGAUUCAUAAAAGUUUAAUUUAAGUCGGAUUCUCAUUUCCAUUUCAAUAAUGCACUAUUUUAUGUAUCACGAUAUCUAUUAAACAUGGAUGGAAUUUUAGAAUAACAUUUGAAAACUAAAAAUCGAGAGGCAUAGGCUCGGUUGAGGCAUGAUAAAUCUUAAAAAAAAUGAUUUUUCAACGUUCGUCAAUGUUUCAUUUUCAGAAAUUUUUAAAAUUGCAUAUAGGUGAAAUUGGUAUCAGGUUUUUUUUACUGAAU